AGGUAGCAUAAUCACUUGUCUCUUAAUUAGAGGCUAGAAUGAAGGGGGCGACGAAAUCUAGGCUAUCAAAAUUUCAACAUAAAUUGACAAUCAGGUCAAAAGGCCUGUAUGUGGCAGGGGGACGACAAGACCCUAUAAAACUUUACUUUUCGCGCGGCGGCGAGUAGAGUGUUGCUGUAAAGAAUGGUUUUACUGGGGCGGUGCAUGUAGAAACAACUUGAAGUUUAAUAUAUUAAAUAAAGGGGCAUAACUCUUAUAGAAAUAGAAUAAGUUACUUUAGGGAUAACAGCGUAAUUACCCCAGAGAGUUCUUAUUGGCGGGGUAGCUUACGACCUCGAUGUUGAAUUGGGACACCUUGUGCAGGCAGUUGUGUAUAAAGACAGUCUGUUCGACUAUUAAAUUCCC
rnacentral:rRNA from 1 species